GGAAGGAGGUGUGAUCACUUCCUAUCUGUUUGAGAGCCCUUACUUUUUUUUGGUUUUGUUUUUGGUCAGUAUUCAUUCUUUUGAGUGCAUUGGACAAACCUGUGUUGAGCACCUCUUCCUUGCCAGGUGUAGCUUAGGUGUGAACCGGAUGCCUGGCUUCCCUGGAGGUCCAGGCGGGACAAAACGGAAGGACCCAGGGCAGCUCUCUUCCCUCUGCCUCGGCUUGCCUUUUCUUUACUUCUGCCUUCUCAUCUCUUUAGGGACAGGGAGACGGAGACACCGCAGUUCUUUCUCCUUUGUGUUCAUACUGCACAGAAAUGCAGAUGACCAGAAAGGUUGGGUGGUGGCACCCAUAACCGUAGUUCAAGGUGUAUCAUGUUUUACUAACAAGGUCCUAUAAAGCAGGCCAGAUGGGUCAGUUCAAUCAAAAGGAGAUUCAGGAGUCUUUCUACUUUGUUCAGAGUGUUCAGGAGAAUUUGUCCCAAACUCUAGGAGUGUUUGUCAGAAAUAUCUUUUCUCUGGGAAGGAAAGGGAGAACCAGACACUCGCACAACUUGAAUUUGGUCUCUUCAAAAACUGGCUCCACCGCAGUGGGAGAAGCUGCAGGGGAAAAAAGAAUGUUGCAAGGCCUGCCUGAGCCACCUCCCUGCCGGCGGGGAGGGGGGGGAGAAGGCAGAGAGUCGCGCUCUUCCAGUGGCUAAUAACACCAACAGUAAUCCUUCCUUAAGAGAAGUUGGCAGGCAAAUGCUCAUAAGGACUUUGCACAUUUAACUCACAUUUGAUGAGAGCUCUUCCUAGCCUUAACCAUCUUGUGGCCAGAUCCUGUCUUACUCAGUUCUGAUUUCAAAGGGGUGUUUUCAAGCCAAGGAAUUUGGAGCACGUGGAUGUUUUAAGAGCAUGUCUGUUUGUGCAACAUUCUUUCUAUGCAUCUCUGAUGAUGUUUUGAGGAUCACUGUAGACUGAAAUCCACGGUCUCAAUGGAGUGACAGCUAAAUGGGGAGAAGGACCUUCUAUUCCAACACUUUCCUUAUACAGGGAAAAAAAGACUUGCAAGGACAUGGUAAGGUCACACUACAGUUACUGGCAGGAGAUUCUGAGUUUCAAGGUUCUACUGAACCACAGCGCGGCAGCCCUCUUCCUACAACAGUUACUUGGGUUUUGCUAAUUCUUCUGGGUCUGGUUAUUGAAGACGUUUCUGUACUUCUAAUUCUCAGAUCUUUGGAAGUCAUUUUUACGAAAUAAAAAAUAAUGCCUGGGAUAUGGAAUAUAAUAAAUGCUGACUAGACGAAUGGAUGAAUGACCAACAGAGUUAGAACUCUUUAAUAGAAACCUGAGAUUUGAGUGAAAAGGAGACAAGGGCCCUCUUAUCCAAAAGACAGAGUAGACACACUUCUGGUCGAUUCUCCUGAAACCUACCUCAAAUUGGUUAUCUAAUGAUAUGUUUAAUCUGCAUCAAAUCCUUUAUUGGUAAAUCCAGUUCAGUCGCUAGUACCUGUUUUGUUAAAUGUGUAAAGAAGGUAAAAUCAAUCAUGAUGAUAUUAUGUCAGUUUGGUAGAGGAGGUAGGAAAAAAUAUGAGUUAAGAUGUCAAUACCUUAUACAACUGAAACAUAUGUGAUUUGGGGCAAGGCAGCAUAGUGAUGGGUGUAAAUUUUCAAUGGUUGGGAAUGAUACUCAUGAUAUCAUACACUUACAUAAUACCAUUUCGUGGAGGCUGGAUGUCAAAAUAAAGUAUUUUAGGUAUUUUGGGCAGGUUUCUUAACUCACUGAAUCCUUACAGCUACUCUGAAAGGUAGUCAUCAUUAGCCCCACUUUAGAGAUGGGGCUUAGAGAAGUUACCUGUCGCACAAGGUUACAGAGGAAGCACCAGACAGCUUGGGAACUCACUGACAUCUGACUUUUCGGAAAUAUGUGCUUUUCCCAUGUUUUAGGAAAUCUCUUACUAGAAUCCCGAGUCCUGCACCGAGGAUGCAAGUAGUUCAUGAAAAUGGACCCAGGGUUUGUUCAAGUGAAAUACUUAGUAGAAAGAAGAUGUGACUAGUUUUGCACACAAGGGACAAUAGCCACUGCCCUGAGAGCUGGAGGUACAGCAGAGCCCCUAAGAAUAAAGCUGAGUGGGGCCAGCAAUUGCUCAGCAAAGUGACUACAGGCAGUUGGCUCAUACAGACCAUGUGGAGGUUGAUGUUCUAAAUGCAGAUCAUGAUGCUUUCCAGGCGGGAAGUGAAGUCAGUGACUACGAGGCUCAUGUCCGGAUAUAUGGGGGAUUCUAAAAGUAGAUCAUCUGGUUUUAUUACUUAGGGUUUGAUUUUCCUGAUCAUAAAAGUGGACCUCUUCUGAUAAAAAUCUGAUUGAUCUUGAUAAGACCUGCAGGCAGUUUACUCUUUUAGAAAGUUGAGAGAAUCCUAAGAUUUAUUUAGUAUUUAAUUUAGUAAGAAAUGUGCAAGUAAUAAGAUUAAAGCUAUCUUAAUUCACACUCUCAUGUUCAAAUGAGGGUUUAAAAGUAAAUAACAAGACAUUUUGACAGAGGAACUAAAUCCAAAGGGGUUUUCACUCUGAACCCCCCUCAACCUAUGGUGCAGGUGAUCUUCCUUCUUGAAUUCUAAUACAAACAUUUUGGUGUCUUGUAUUGUCUAAUAUUUCUAAAAUGCUUUGAAAUAUAUUCUAUAUAAUAUUAUGUAUUACAACAAGAAUGGAGAAAGAUCUAAAUGUUCAACAGUAGGAAAAUGAUUAAAUAAAUAAGAGCUAAUAUUAAAAAAACUGUAGGGUGAGAAGGGAGGGUUUUUUGUUCUCUUUUUCCCUACUAAUCUUAACAUAUUCAUUUAAUCAGUAUUUCAUAUAUCAUACAUACCCUUUUACACCUUUCACUUUCCUCUCUUUACUACAUCUCAGUCAGUUAGCUCAGGAAAAUCACUAUUGCCAUUGUCAAUCCACCCGUAGGUCAAAAAAUGACCCACCUAAUACAUGCGUAAUGCUGAUACAUCUAUCUGUUUAAGCAAAGAGUUAGGAGA